rnacentral:lncRNA from 1 species
CGCACUUUCAGCAGUCUGGUUGCCGAGGGUGAGCUCGCUGGCAGAGGAACUUGCGCCUUCCAACUCUUAGGUUUGUUGCGUUCGGGUCGCAGUCGACUUUAAUGGGAACCAAGCAAAGCACCCAAUGGCCCCUGCCAUCAGGUGCGUGGCAGUUAUCACAUGACGAUCGUCAGAACUCGCGAGGCGCGCAGAUUCAGCGAGUGCCAGUGUGGCUGGCUGUGAAGCGAACUUUGGGUUCGAGCUUCUGGUUCAGCUUGCAGCCUUUCUUGGGGUUCGAACCUCCUCCUGGUCCUUAAAGAAGAAUUCAGUGCUCCCCCUUCACAGUUUCAU